CGCUCCUCGGAGUCCCCCCGCGCCCCGGAGUCCACCCGCGCCCCGGAGUCCACCCGCGCAGGCCUCCCCAGACUUUGCCUUUUAGCCUUCCAGUGAAACAAGUUCUGUAUCCAAGAUAUACAAUUAAGUGGACAAAGCAGAUUGCAGAAAGUCUUUUCGUAGCUCACAAGGGGACAUCAAAGAUGACAAAGAGGAGUGGAAGAAGACAGAGAGAAUCAAUGUGAGGAGCCUGGAACAGGGCUCUGAAUUGUCUUCCCACAGUGAAAUCACUUGUCUAUUGCUGAGCCAAGAAUUUGACUCUGAGCAUCUAGGAUGAGAAAGAAGAACUGGCACCUACGCCAUCUCUGCCCCUCGGGACUGACUAUUUUGGCCCAGUUUCCUCAACAAUGAAAUGGGACUAAUUAUCCCAGGUCACACUUCUCUCUGGGCUUACCCUGGGAAUCAGAUGAUUGAGCUUUGGAUCUCACUCUGUUGCCCAGGCUGGAAUGCAGUGAUACGAUCAUGACUCACUGCAGCCUCAAACUCCUGGGUUCAAGUAACCCUCCCACCUCAGCUUUCUGAGUAACUGGGACUACAGAAUGCCCCACCCCACUUAGUCCAUAGUGAUGCCCACCUGUGGUUAAUGGAGCUGAGGCUGCUGGACCAAAGGGAGGAAGUCUGUUAGGCAUAUGUGGAACCCAAAAGAGGAACUUCAUCAACUGUCAUGGACAGCUCUGCCACUUUGUGACCCUGUGGACUUUUUGGGAAGUGUUUUUGUGGUUCACCAGUCUCUCAUUAGGCAAGGCCAUUUGUCCUGGGUUGGUCUUCUUCAUUGGUGGAAAGUACAGCUGGGAGAUUUGGAAUGGUUGCAGAUUGACUUGACUCUCAUAAGGAACUGCCACCAUGAGCUUUUGGGGAAAGACCUCAAGCUGUGGUGUGUUGCUGAGGAUUGUGGGAUUCCUCCAAAUCUUGGGGAACAUUUUGAGUCAUCACUGGCAGCAGAUUUCUGUUGACAACUUGAGCAACUUCAGAAUGAAGAAGCCAUCUUCAUCUCUCACAUGAAUAUGACUUUGGGUAAAUCAUCUCGAAAUCUGAACCCAUGGUUGUGAUCCACACUCCUCCUGAGUUCUGAUUUUUAGUGUAACCUUUUUCUUCUCAUUUUUUCUUCUUUGUGCAUCUCUUAAGGAGGUUUUUAAAAUCUCAUAAUUAAAAAAUUUAUUUCUUCAAAACUUUUUAUUUUGAAAUCACUGUAAAUUCACAUACAUUUGUAUAAAAUGCCACAGAAAAAUCCUGUGUGCCUUUUACUCAGUUUAUUCUAAUGAUAACAUCCUUAAAGAGAUUUAAAAAUUACUGAGAUAUAAUUGAAAUAUGAGAAAAUUCACUCUUUUAUGCAUUUAAAUAUCCUUUAUGUUUUUUCAUAGCUUAUUAGCUCAUUUCUUUUCAGUGCUGAAUAAUUCUUAAUUGUCUGGAUAUACCAUAGCUUAUUUAUCCAUUCACGUAUUGAAGGAUGUUCUAGUUGCUUUUAAGUUUUGGCAAUUAUGAAUAAAGCUGCUGUAUACAUUCAUGUUUAGGUUUUUGUGUAGAUAUAAAUUUUCAAGCUCUUUGGGUAAAUAUUCCAAGAGCACUUGCCGAGUUGAAUGGUAAGAAACUACCCAACUGUCUUCUAAAGUAGUAUACCGUUUUGCAUUCCCACCAACAAUGAAUGGGAGUUCCUGUUUCUCCACAUUUUUGUCAAUAUUUGGUGGUGCCUGUGUUUUGGUGCCAUUCUAAUAGGUAUGUAGUGGUAUCUCAUUGUUUUAUUAUUCAUAUAUAUUCAUUGGGUAAAGUGCAAUUUUGCUGUUGACAUAUUGCACUGUGGUGAAGUCAGGGCCUUCAGUGCAUCAUUUAUCACUAGAGCAAGGCACAUUGUACCCACCAAGCAACCUACCAUCACCCACCAACCUUCUAUCCUUCUGAGUCUCCAUUGUUCAUUAUCCCAGACUCCACAUUCUGCUUUGUGUGUACACAUUAUUUAGUUUCCUCUUAUAAGUGAGAACAUGAGGAACAUGUCUUUUUGUAUAUGGGUUGUUUCAUGUCAGAAAAUGGCCCCCAGUUCUAUCCAUGUUUCUGCACAAGAUAUAAUUUCAUUCUUUUUAUGGUUGAAUAGUAUUCCAUUGUGUAUAUACCCCACAUUUUCUUUAUCCAGUCCUCCAUUGAUGAACACUUAGAUUGAUUCCGUAUCUUUGCUAUUGUGAGUAAUGCUGUGAUAAACAUAUGAGUGCAGAUAUCUCUUUGAUAUAGUGAUUUCUUAUCCUUUGGGUAGAUACUCAGCUGGGUAGGACUGCUGGAUUGUAUAGUGGUUCUAUUUUUAGUUCCUUGAGAAAUCUUCAUACUGUUUUCCAUAGAGGUUGUCCUAGUUUACAUUCCCACCAACAGUGUGUAAGAGUUCCCUUUUCUCCAAAUCCUCUCCAACAUCUGUUAUUUUUUUAUCUUUUUAGUAAUAGUCAUUCUGAUUGGUGUAAGAUGAUAUUUCAUUGUGGUUUUAAUUUACAUUUCUCUGAUAAUUAGUAAUGUGUAACUUUUUUCAUAUACACGUUGGCUAUUUGUUUAUCUUGUUUUGAAAAAUGUCUAUUCAUGUCUUUAGCCCACUUUUUAAUGGGAUUAUUUUUUGUUGUUGAGUUGAGUUCCUUGUAAAUUCUGGAUAUUAGUCCCCUCUUGGACGUAUUGUUUGCAAAUAUUCUCUCCCAUUCCACAGAUUGUUUAUCACUCUGUCGAUUAUUUCUUUUGCUAUGCAGAAGCUUUUAACUUUAAGUCCCAUUUGUCUAUUUUUGUUUUCGUUGCUUGUGCUUUUGAGGUGUUCUUCACGAAUUCUUGACUAGCCCAAUGUCUACAAGAGUUUUCCCUAUUUUUUUCUAGCAUUUUUAUAGUGUCAGGUCUUACAUUCAAGUCUUUAAUCUAUUGUGAGUUGAUUUUUGUAUUUGGUGAGUGAUAGGGGUCCAGUUUCAUUCUUCCACAUAUGGCAAUUCGAUUUUUCCCAGCACAAUUUAUUGAAAAGGAUGUUCUUUCUCCAGUAUAUGUUCUGGUCAAUUUUGUCAAAGAUCCGUUGGCUGUAAGUGUGUGGUUUUAUUUCUGCAUUCUGUAUUUUGUUCUAUUAAUCUAUGUGUUGAUUUUUAUAUAAGUAUCAUGCUGUUUUGGUAACUAUAGCCUUGUAAUAUAAUUUGAAGUUAGGCAAUGUGAUACCUUCAGCUUUUUUUUUCCCCCCUUAGGAUUACUUUGGCUAUUUGGGCUCCUUUUUGGCUCCAUAUGAAUUCAUUUCUUCUAACUCUGAAUCCUGAAUUAUUUACUCUAAUUCUGUGAAAAUUGACAUUGGUACUUUUUUUAGACCUCCUGUGUGGACAUGACAUUGGCAUUUUGAUAGGGAUUGCACUGAACUUGUAGAUUACUUUGGGCUGUGUGGUCAUUUUAAGACUAUUAAUUUGGC
rnacentral:lncRNA from 10 species